rnacentral:rRNA from 1 species
GACGAACGCUGGCGGCGUGCUUAACACAUGCAAGUCGAGCGGUAAGGCCCUUUCGGGGUACACGAGCGGCGAACGGGUGAGUAACACGUGGGUGACCUGCCCUCAGCUCUGGGAUAAGCCUGGGAAACCGGGUCUAAUACCGGAUAUGACUCCAUGACGCAUGUUGUGGGGUGGAAAGCCUUGUGCGGCUGAGGAUGGGCCCGCGGCCUAUCAGCUUGUUGGUGGGGUGAGGCCUACCAAGGCGACGACGGGUAGCCGGCCUGAGAGGGCGACCGGCCACACUGGGACUGAGACACGGCCCAGACUCCUACGGGAGGCAGCAGUGGGGAAUCUUGCGCAAUGGGCGAAAGCCUGACGCAGCGACGCCGCGUGAGGGAUGACGGCCUGG